ensembl:lncRNA MIR4733HG MIR4733 host gene
GCGGCCGCUCCUACCUCCCCUCACCUACUCUGUCCCCACCCCCACUCCGCUCCCACCUCCCGCCCGCCACGGGCCGGUUACCUGCUCGUCGAAGCGGCUGACCACGGCCUGGACCCAUUCCACCGGCCUGUGCGCGGCCAUGUCCUCCCCGCGGCCGGGGGGCGGCGGAGGGAAGGGUGGGCCGGCGCCCUGGGCCGGGAAGAGGGCGGGGAGCGGAGGCUGAGAGACAAGGUCUGACUCUGUGCAGUGGAGUGCAGUGGCUCAAUCAUAGCUCACUCCAGCCUCAGACUCCUGGGCCGAAGUGAUCCUCCCACCUCAAGCUCCUGAAUAGCUGGGACUACAGCUGGGCAUGGUGGCAUGUGCCUGUGGUUCCAGUUACUUGGGAAGCUGAAGUGGGAGGAUCGCUUGAGCCCAGGAGGUCAAGGCUACAGUGAGCUGUGAUGGUGUCAUUGCAUUCCAGCACUCCAGCCCGGGCAUCAGAGUUAGACCUUG